rnacentral:misc_RNA from 1 species
UGCACCUCUUAGGAAACUUUCAAUUCACAAACCCAACUUAAGAUAUGUCAAAUCACUCUCAUAGGUAACUUUUCAUUACUUAAGGGAUUUGGCAAAAGAUUUUAUUUCAUGGUGCAUGAUUCCUAAAAAUGAGCAACGCAUUAACUAAAUAUCAGAAAUCUAUAUGUAAAUUUCUAUAUAGUUACUAUAUGAUAUAUGGUAUGUAUGUAUGUGUAAAUUAUUUACACUGUGAAUAUAUGAUGUAUGUAUAGCAUGAAAUGAAAUGAAAUGCACUUAGACUAAAAAUGCUAAAAUUUUUUGUAAAAAUCUUAUAUAAUUUUGAUAGUCCCACCUUUAUUCAAA